AAUAACCGUCAAAAUCUUAGAAGACAGAUUGAGGUUCUUAAAUAUAUGGGGUCAAAACGUCUUACAAGUCAUCAAUGCUUAAUAAAUGACGAUAGUGGAUGACUAUUUGUGAGGAUUUGAAUUAAAAUUGAUAUUUUGCAAUGAAGAUGAAUUUACAGCGAAAUAAAGGUCUACCCCACGACAUGCUUAACCGUGGCGAACGAUUCCAAUCAAACUGAUAAAUAAAGAAACUUGUCUUGGCCACAUUGAGCUGAGGAUGCAAGUUUUGCACUGACUAAAUGCUAAAUAAAAUCUACAGGAUAUAAUACUUUAAUAGCAACGUUGAUAAUAAGGCUGGAGC